UAGUAACGGCGAGUGAAGCGGCAACAGCUCAAAUUUGAAAUCUGGCCCUCGGGUCCGAAUUGUAAUUUGUAGAGGAUGCUUUUGGUGAGGUACCUUCCGAGUUCCCUGGAACGGGACGCCAUAGAGGGUGAGAGCCCCGUCUGGUUGGAUACCGAUCCUCUGUAAAGCUCCUUCGACGAGUCGAGUUGUUUGGGA
rnacentral:rRNA from 1 species